AUCAUGGCUCAGAACGAACGCUGGCGGCAUGCCUAACACAUGCAAGUCGAACGAGACCUUCGGGUCUAGUGGCGCACGGGUGCGUAACGCGUGGGAAUCUGCCCCUUGGUUCGGAAUAACAGCGAGAAAUUGCUGCUAAUACCGGAUAAUGACGUAAGUCCAAAGAUUUAUCGCCAAGGGAUGAGCCCGCGUAGGAUUAGCUAGUUGGUGUGGUAAAGGCGCACCAAGGCGACGAUCCUUAGCUGGUCUGAGAGGAUGAUCAGCCACACUGGGACUGAGACACGGCCCAGACUCCUACGGGAGGCAGCAGUGGGGAAUAUUGGACAAUGGGCGAAAGCCUGAUCCAGCAAUGCCGCGUGAGUGAUGAAGGCCUUAGGGUUGUAAAGCUCUUUUACCCGGGAUGAUAAUGACAGUACCGGGAGAAUAAGCUCCGGCUAACUCCGUG
rnacentral:rRNA from 1 species